UUAGUCUAGGUCCAACUUUUCGUUCAACCCAUCACUUUCAUCGACGAUUGAUCGACUUCACAUUCCUCUUUCUCCGAAACCCAGUUGUUUUCACCUCUUAGCUUCCCCCUUGUAACGUUAAAAUUGUGACUCAUAAAGCUUUAUCAUUUAGUGCAAUCACUAUAUAUCUAUUCUUCACUUCGAAUUUGUUGAGAAGAAGAAGAAAUACGACGUAUAAUCUAUCUUUCCCCGGUCAUGCCAAUGUCAUCAACUCUGGAUCAAGCACUAAUCUCUGUCGUCGAUCCAACACUGAUCACGAAGUAGUCAGAAAACCCUCAUCACCAAAAGCCAAGGAUAACAGAAAGUCAUCAUCCGACUUCCCAGACUUCUCAUCGUUGAGUUCAUCACGUUCUUUUGGGUUCUUCAUCUUCCAUUACAUCCUUAAAUCCUUGGAAAAUAUUCUGAGAGCUCUCUUGCUUAAUCAGAAAAGGGAUUAUUCGUAACUCUUACCGCUUUUAACGACUUCACAGCGAGAUGGCUUCACCAAAAUGGAACUGAUCUGAGAAACUCAAAUCCUUAUUGGCGCCACCUUCAUCACCAACGGUGGUAUCCAAGAAGCCAGUGCCGUCCUAAUAAUUUGAGUAGUGAUUUAAGUUGAGGCUUGAGGCGUAUUGAUGACGCAACCACCAGAUUGUUCUACUUCAUAUGAUCGUUUAGUCGGAUCCAGUAACACGCUUUUGAGACUGUGGAUCCCAGGCAACUAAAGGACCCAUUGUUGCUGAUAAUAAUUGUGAGAAAACUCACUACAGGGCACCAAACACAUAUUGAUGUGGGGCUGGAACAGCAGAAUAUACAUUCCUAGCUAUGAAGAGCUACAACAAUGUACUGUUUGAUGAAAAGUUGCAACUCACUCCUUUGAGGCGCCCUCCAAUGUAAGUAUGUAGCGGUUUCUAUCAUCUAAUUGUAUCAUAAUUAGUGACAGCCAAAACCAACAAGGAGGUGUUGUGAGAAGCGAAGUGGUAGAGGCAGAGGCCAAGCUGAUGGUCGGAAAGGGAAUAGGUGGCCCAGCUGGAGAUUGUCGUGUCUAAAAAUGUGUUUAAGAAAUGGAAUAAAGAGCUCGCACUCGCACGUGGAU